AUUUAUAUAGUUUAUAUAAAACAUUACAUUUUCAUUGUAAAAUAAAGAAUCUUUCUUUUUAAAUA
rnacentral:tRNA from 1 species